rnacentral:rRNA from 1 species
CGUGAAAUUGUUGAAAGGGAAACGCUUGAAGUCAGUCGUAUCUGCCAGGACUCAGCCUUGCUUCUGCUUGGUGCACUUUCUGGUCGGAUGGGCCAACAUCGAUUUUGACCGUUGGAAAAAGGCUUGGGGAAUGUGGCACUUUCGGGGGUGUUAUAGCCCUCUGUCGACUGCAACGGGUGGGGUUGAGGACUGCAGCACGCCUUUAUGGCCGGGGGUCGCCCAGGUACGUGCUUAGGAUGUUGGCAUAA